CUGUUCUUGGUCGCCCACCAGUAAAAUGCGGGAAUACUUUCUGUUCUAGGUCGUCCACCAGUAAAAUGCGGGAAUACUUUCUGUUCUAGGUCGCCCACCAGUAAAAUGCGGGAAUACUUUCAUGUUCUAGGUCGCCCACCAGUAAAAUGCGGGAAUACUUUUUGUUCUAGGUCGCCCACCAGUAAAAUGCGGGAAUACUUUUUGUUCUAGGUCGCCCACCAGUAAAAUGCGGGAAUACAUUUC
rnacentral:lncRNA from 1 species